rnacentral:lncRNA from 1 species
AGCACUUAUCAAUAUUUUUAAACUGAUAAAUACAUAUUUUACCAUGAAAUUGAACAAACAUUGAAGUAAGUUUAAAAUAUGGUAAUUAUUCUCUUAAACUAGAUUCUGAACUUGUCUCUCUCUUGUUUGCAAUCUUUCAUGAAAAUUUCAUAAAAACAUAUAAGGAGGAGAUUGUGUUGACCCGAUUUGGUAACCUGAUAGAGUUGUAAUCAAGCUAAA